AGGGAAUCUUCCACAAUGGACGCAAGUCUGAUGGAGCAACGCCGCGUGAGUGAAGAAGGUUUUCGGACCGCAAAGCUCUGUUGUUGGUGAAGAAGGAUAGAGGUAGUAACUGGCCUUUAUUUGACGGUAAUCAACCAGAAAGUCACGGCUAACUACGUGCCAGCAGCCGCGGUAAUACGUAGGUGGCAAGCGUUGUCCGGAUUUAUUGGGCGUAAAGCGAGCGCAGGCGGAAGAAUAAGUCUGAUGUGAAAGCCCUCGGCUUAACCGAGGAAUUGCAUCGGAAACUGUUUUCUGAGUGCAGAAGAGGAGAGUAGAACUCCAUGUGUAGCGGUGGAAUGCGUAGAUAUAUGGAAGAAUACCAGUGGCGAAGGCGGCUCUCUGGUCUGCAACUGACGCUGAGGCUCGAAAGGCAUGGGUAGCGAACAGGAUUAGAUACCCUGGUAGUCCAUGCCGUAAACGAUGAGUGCUAAGUGUUGGGAGGCUUCCGCCUCUCAGUGCUGCAGCUAACGCAUUAAGCACUCCGCUUGGGGGAGUACGACCGC
rnacentral:rRNA from 1 species